CUGAAUCAACAGGGGUGGGUCUUUCCUGUGCUGUUCUUUUGACAGUGAAUGGGACUCACAAGAUCUCAUGGUUUUAAAAACGGGAGUUUCCCUGCACAAGUUAUUUUUUUGCCUGCUGCCUUCCACGUAAGAUGUGACUUGCUCCACCUUGCCUUCCGCCAUGAUCGUAAGGCCUCCCCAGCCAUUUGGAACUGUAAGUCUAAGAAGCCUCUUUCUUUCGUAAAUUGCUGAAUCUCAGACAGAGUGUCACUGUAUUGCCCAGGCUGGAAUGGAGUGGUGUAAUCUUGGCUCACUGCAACCUCCGCCUUCUGGGGGUUCAAGCGAUUCUCAUGCCUCAGCCUCCCGAGCAGGCGCACAACACCACGCCCGGCUAAUUUUUGUAUUUUUAGUAGAGAUGGGGUUUUGCUAUGUUGGCCAGGCUGGUCUGACACUCCUAGCCUCAAGUCUGGUCUGCCUGUCCUGGCCUCUCAAAGUACUAGGAUUACAGGCAUGAGCCACCGCACCCAGUCCUGAUUUUAUCUCUUGAUCAUCUGGAUUAAACUGUACCAGAAGACACUCCUGGGACUUUUGGAUUGCGCAAACAAAUAAAUUUUUUCUUUUGCCUGAGUAAUUUUGUGCUGGAUAUCUGUCCUGGCUGAUAUAGUUAUGGCUGAUAUGUUAGACUGACUCUGUAUUUAAGUGUUAGUAGUUAAUUCCUAAUUAAUAGACUAUUAGAUAUCUUACGUUCAAGUAUAUAUCCUUUUUUCUUUGUAAUUUUGUCAAAUCUUUUAAGUAUUCAUUUCUGAUUCAUUUCACCGAACUCUGAAUUUUCUGGAAGGGGUUGGAAAAAGGGUUGUUAUUUCCCUAGUUUGCAUGCUUCAAUCAGACCAGGUGUUGACAGCGGUGUCUGUGUCAAUGCGUCAGUGACUAUGCCCUGCCAGUUACUAAAUAUUUUGAAUAUCAUAUCUAAUUGGUAGGGGGACACUGUUCUAAGUUGUUCUUUGAAUAUAUUUUUUGUUUGUGGACAAUGAUCUUAAUAUAACUGAC
rnacentral:lncRNA from 1 species